rnacentral:rRNA from 1 species
AGUGAACGCUGGCGGUAGGCCUAACACAUGCAAGUCGAACGGCAGCACAGUAAGAGCUUGCUCUUACGAGUGGCGAGUGGCGGACGGGUGAGGAAUACAUCGGAAUCUACUUUUUCGUGGGGGAUAACGUAGGGAAACUUACGCUAAUACCGCAUACGACCUACGGGUGAAAGCAGGGGAUCUUCGGACCUUGCGCGAUUGAAUGAGCCGAUGUCGGAUUAGCUAGUUGGCGGGGUAAGGGCCCACCAAGGCGACGAUCCGUAGCUGGUCUGAGAGGAUGAUCAGCCACACUGGAACUGAGACACGGUCCAGACUCCUACGGGAGGCAGCAGUGGGGAAUAUUGGACAAUGGGCGCAAGCCUGAUCCAGCCAUACCGCGUGGGUGAAGAAGGCCUUCGGGUUGUAAAGCCCUUUUGUUGGGAAAGAAAAGCAGCAGGUUAAUACCCCGCUGUUCUGACGGUACCCAAAGAAUAAGCACCGGCUAACUUCGU